AGGAGGCUCUGCUGAGUCCCCAUCCUGCCCCCGAGCCCGAGCCCACUGCUUGCUGCUCUAGGGGCCCGGGCAUGUCCUCGGGCCUCAUGCAUCUGGCCUCAAGCUGGGGACGAGAUAGGGACAACGGUUUUUGGGCGGGACGUCUCUCCUUCCCAGAGGCCUGAGCCCCGACCCAAGAUGGUCUGUUCGGGAAGGCUGGCCGCGGGGUCCACGACACUUUCGGGCCUGAGACCACCGUCGGCUCGGAAGGGCUCCAGGGUACCUGACGGGGACGCACAGAGCGUCUCGCGGAGACAGCCCCACGGGUCCCCGCCCCGGUAGCUCGGUUCUGGGCCUCUGCCAAGGCUUCCGGGCCUGCGGUGCCUACAGCCUUCCCAGUACACAGGGACCCGGCUGUGGAUCCCACACACACCGUCCUGCCCCCAAACAGCAGGGCCCUAAACCCUAGGAAGUGGCCGCCGGCCAGGGGUCCCCAGGGUGGGCCUUGGAAGCGUACGAUUGCGCCCCACGCGCGGGGUCCCCCAAUAAUGAGCACAGCGCGGCCCCUUCCCGAGCCGGGGAGACCCCAGCACACACUCGGGCGGGAAGAGGAUUCUACAGGGCCUGGCGGCGGCUGCCGAAACGGAGUCCGUCCCUUCCAGGGCACGUCUGCCAUCCAGCCCCGGCCACUAGUGACCACCCCGCGACGGGAGGACGCGCCGUGCCACGGCUCCGUGGGAAGAUUGCAGAACCACAACCCCGCACGGCGGCCGGACCGAGCCCGCCCCACGCCGGACAGGCCCCGCCCCCUGCCCCUUGGCACUAGCCGGGCCCCGCCUCUCCCUCACCCAGCCGGGUCCCCAGCCCUGGACACGCACCGGGCCAGCCCCACCCCCCUCAACCCUGCCUCCCGCCAGCCUCCCUCCACCCCUUCCUCCAGGGCCUCCUCCUCCCUGCUACCUGCCCCGGACGACGCGGGACCCCUGGACGCCCCCCUGGGACGCGAGCUCGCGGCGGCGCCGCGCAGGGCUAACCCGAGCCCCGCGAGGAGCACGAGGGCCCACGUGCGCCCGCGCCGCGCCUCGGGCCGAGCCGCCUCGGAGCGCACCCCAGCUCCCUGCCUGCUGCGCCGGGGGCCGCCCCGGCAGGACCCUCGUCGCGCGGACCGCAAGGCACGUGGGCGGACGCCCGUGCUGACCGCCCUCGCUGCCUACUGCCCGGAGGGGAGCCUGGGAACUGGGUCUGCGUGCCCGCUGCCCCCCGCCAUGAAGCCAGUCCCUCCAGACCCGAAGAGUGAGUCCGCCCGCCUUCCCUCCCUCAGGACCCGCCUCACGGGGACCCCUCGUGCCCACACUGGGGUCUCGGACGCGGGGCGCUCUGCUGCGCGUCACUGCUCUCCGCAGCGGCCCCCGCGGCCGGCCAUGAGCCACGGAGUCGGGACCUCCGGGGUUGACAAGCAUGAGGGGCUUUGGGCGGCCCACCCCUGUGGGUCCCUCCCGGGACGACCCCAGGCGACCACCUGCGAUCCUCGGGUCCCCAGGGAGCCUGGAUCCCCAGCACGCGACGCGUAUGUGCAGCAGGGUUGCCACCUGCACUCAGGCAGGCUCUCCAAGGUGACCGCCCAGCAACUGGUGCCACGCGCAGGGCAUGGUGAGUCAGUCGACAGGGCAAGAGACAGGGCUGCCUGCAGCGGGUGGAGGACCGUCCUGCUCCGCAGGUGCAGCCCGCGCUCUGGCGAAGCCCACACCCAAGGCCCCAGGGGCCCCAGGGACCGGGGACCUUCCCGGGACACUGUGCAGCUGCUGACCCGGCCGAGCGGGCAGGGUUGGGAUGGGACGAAUUGGUCUUCCUUCGCAGGUGCGAUUAUUGGCUUCUGCCGCCAGCCCGGAGCUGAGCACUCCGUCCCUCCCUCGGGCCACUGCCGGCCGCCCCCAGGAACAAGGACCGCGCCUCGUGCGCGGGAGGGGGCGGCAAUGGCUGGAUGGCGCGGGAGGGGCUGGGAGGCCCCGGGCUCCAUCAGCGGUGCCCAGAUAGAAACCCAUGGCCUUCCCAGAGGGCCUGAGCUGCCCAGCUUACCCAGCCUGACUGCCCCCAGCCGGCGGGGACCGGGAGACGUAUCCUCGGGGUGCAGGUAACCGGAUACAGCACGUUCUGGGAUCACGACCCAGACCUUGGGGAGCAGGGACCCCCCCAAAGUUAGCACCCUGGCACCGCAGUGGGCAAGGGGGUGGGCUCGGUCUCAGCGACAGGCUGGAGGCUCUCAGGAGUGCCCCUCCGCAGUGGAUGGCAGCAGGUCACACAGGGGCUGUUUAUUGAAUCCACUGAAGUGUGUAGGCCCUGCACGCAGGAGGGUUGGGGGGAGACACGGUGAGGGGUCACCGGAGGGGGAAGGGGGAGAGCCCCGAGCAAUGACUGGGGUCCUCCCUGGUGGUCCCUGCUGCGGCCCCGCCCUCCUGGUUCCCUGGAGUCUGAGCAGGACGGGUCCCACUCCUCCCGCACCCCCCUGGGCCUCCAUCUCCUUCCUCAGAGACACUCAGCCGUUCUGGAAGCCUGGGGUCUCACCAUGCCCCUCUCUGGCACCUUCACUGGCCACUCACCCCACCCGGGGUCAGUGUCCUUUGAGUACCUUUCCGUUCUCCUGCACGAAUCUUGAGGGCUGGACGCACAGCGUGAAGGAUGCAGUCUCUCAUCUGGACUGUGAAGGGGGACCUGGGCACUGGAGGUGCAGGUGGACCCCGCCGUCCCCUGCACACCCCGCUGCAAUGUCCCUGGACGAUCCCGCUGCCACACACGGCCCCACUGCCCACCCCCUGCAUACACACACACACACCGGCUCCCCAGCCCCAGGUGCCCUCUGGGCAUGUGGACAGGGUCACAGGCCCCUCAGGGAACUCCCGCACACCACCCACCUUCACGGAGUAGGCGAAUGCCACGCAGCCCAGGCAGCAGACGUUCUGGACGGUUGUGUGGAACAGGGACCAGAUGAUGUGGUUGGGCACAGAGGUCUCACGCUGGAUGUGAUCAUGGUGGUCGUCCCAGGGGCUGCGCUCUGGGGCUUCCCCAGCACGGCCACCUUGUUCUGCCUGAUCAUCUCUGCUUUUGGGGGUGCAGGUGUUGUCCCAAUGGAGGAAGGGCUGAGGAGAGGGGCUCCUGAUGCGGAGGCCUGAGCAGCUGAGGCCCGGAUGCCAGGGGACGUCCCUCUCUGGGGAGUUUUGAGUUCUCUGAAAGUUUCUGCUUCCUGGUGUUUUGUGAGUUGGGAAUUGGCUGGCACUCAGAAGGUGGACAAAGGGCUGCGAGUCAGUUACACUAGGGGAGGUGUGCAGAGGGCUGCAGGCGAGGGGCGCUCCUGUGCAGACACUCAAGGCAGCUUGCCUCUGUGGACCCCUCCUCCUGUAGGGGUGUGGGCGGCCCUGGGCACUACUCCCCAGCCUCAGCCCCAGCCUGCUGCAGGCUCAUUGUCCCCGUGCAGGGUCCCUCCCAGGCGCCCCUACAGACUCCACAUGCAGCCCCAGAGGGGGUUCCCAUCUCCCUAUAGCCCACACCUCAGUUGUCCCAGGCCUCUUCCUGGAUUGUGCCGUCAGGAGCUGCCACCUUGACCCUAGCGGCCCAGCUGGGUCAGGGCUCCCAGCCCAGCCUGCAGGUGCCCCCAGUGGCUCCCACACCACCCGGAGGUUGGGCCUCUGGCUCCGGGGCCUCCUCUCGAUUCCCAGCUUCUGACCCUUUCGGCCCCUUGCCUGGCCUCCCCUCACAGGCCGUCGGCUGCUUCCUGCAGCUGCCACCUGUGGGUGCCCCCACAGCGGCGUCACCUGUACCCCAUUCCUAUGUUCAGUCCUCCCUGUUGAAAUAUCUCAUGUGGCUCUGCUUUCCUGCCAGACCCUCCCUCACCCGGAAGCCCUACUACUCCCACGUAUGUGCUCAGGCUGUCAGAGGGCAGGGGUGGGACACCACCUGCCCUGGUGCCUGCUCUGGGGUGAGGUCAGUGAAGGGCAGGGUGGGGCGCCAGCAGGCCCGAGUGGGCAGCUGCCCGUUCGCAGUCCUGACGUGCUGCCCUUGCCAGCGCCUGUGGGACAAACUCCCACCUGGGCCAUCUCGGGCUGACAUGACACCCCUUUCACGGUGAGACCGGGGGUGGGCACCAGCUCAUGUGCAGCUUUCCAUGUGCGGCUGAGGUGGCAGUAAAUGUAGUGACAGGACUGCCAAGUGGUGCACCUAACUAAUCGUUACUUUCUAUUAGGGUCACUUAUUUUAUAUUAUUAAUAUUUCAUUUAUGUAACAUUUGCAGGACAUUAAGUUUACUCCUCAUCCAUCUUACAGUGGGUCACUUAGUCACUGUACACAUAUUCUCUUGUGUUGCAAUCAUUGCUAAUAUUUGAUUGCAGAACAUUUCAUAACACAAAAAUAGGUCCCAUCUGCAUUACACAGUCACUCCCAAUUUCUUUGUCCCCCAAUCCCCUGGCAACCGCUUACCUAUUUUGAUUCUCCUCAGUUUCUCUAUUCUGGGCUUUCAUAUACAUGGAAUCAAAUAAUAUGUGGUCUUUGUGGCCUCUUUCAAGUGGCAUAUUUCCAGUGUUCGUGUUUUUGCAUCUAUCAAUGUUUCUUUUUGGCCACAUUUUCCAUAAUAUGGAUAUACCACCUUCUUCAUCUAGUCUUAGCUUGAUUGUCAUUUGUUUUCACUAUUUGGCUACUAUUAAUAAUGUUGCUAUUGACAUUCCUGCACAAACUUUUCGGUAGACACACAUUUCAUUAGUUCACUAUCUAGUAGGGGUUUCUGGGUCAUAGGGUAACUAUGUUUCAUUAUUCAAGGAACUGGUUCCCACACAUAGGUGUGGGGUUCCCACACCUAUGACAGGCUUAUUACCUGCGUUUCUAUUCUGGCCAGCAUAAACGACGUGAGCUAGUAUCGCCCUGUGGUUUUAUUUAGCAUUUCUCUCGUGACUAGUAAAAUGGAGCAUAUUUGCACACCUUACUGGCACUUUGGUCUGUCUUCCUUAGAGAAACGUGUAUUCAGGUCCUUUGCCAAUCUUCUAACUUCUAUUUGUUUUUUUUCUACUGAGCUGUAACUGUUCUUAAACUUCAAGAUAUCACUUGUUUACCACAUUUAUGAUUUGCAAACAUUUUCUCCCUUUCUGUGGUUUGUCUUUUCACUUUCUUAAUUGUGUACUUUACAUCAAAAGUUUUAAAUUUUUGUUAGGGCCCAUUUAUCUCUUUUAUCUUUUGGUGUCAUAUCUAAGAAUCCUUUGUCAAGCCACCUGACACUUCAUGGAUGCCACUGACUCUCAGGGUGGAGCUCAGAGAGAGCUGCCGCAUGUCCUUUAAUCAGGAUGACCCUCAAAGGAUGGGGCCAGGGCACACACCAUCAUCUCAGCACGUGACGCCGUGGCCAAAAAGGGGACCCCUCUGCUUGUCCCAUCAGGAGUUUAUUUCUGUAGUCUGACAGCUUCUUUGACCUGAACUCCUGCCCCCUGGACCCUCAGUCCAGGGAGGCCCACCCUGCAGACAGGGUCAUGCUUCCCUCUGAGAUUCUGAGGCUGAGGCCACCCUGAGCCUUCCCAGCUUUGUGACUGGGGCCCUCACCUUCCAGGUUAAAUUUGAGGAUCUGGCGAGACCCUCCCCGCUGCUGGCUGCAUCCCCUGGGAGUCGUGAAGCUUGUCUAGAAACUAGGAGCUUUUGUCUGGAGGCUCCUCCUCCCUCUGUCCUAUCCCAAGUGAAGCUGGUGGAACGUGGUCCAGGUUGGGGAAGCCCUCACUGAGCCCUCCUUCAGCUGCACUGUCUCCAGGUUCUCCAUCACAGUCAGUGGUUCCUGCUGGUGCGGGAUCUGCCAGCUGCCAGGGAAGGAGAACUGAGUCAUUGUGGAGUCACCAGGUGCCACCUUCCUGAGCCACAGCUCAGGGUCCUGGGGCAUGUCCAGGAGCCCAUUUUCCCUGUCACUGGACUCCAUUACUACUGGCCACGGCUGCGUGCAAGAUGCACACAGGGAGGGGAAGGCAGUUUGAGCCCAGACAUGGACCUCCCUGCAGGAUGGUCAGGUGGGGACUGGGCUGCAGUGGGCACUCAGGACCCCCCGAGAACAGGGCUUCACUACAGGGCAGGUGCAGGAGGUUCCUGGAGAGGCAUUUCCUCCUGGGGCCUUGGGAUUCCUUAUGCCCAGUCACCCAACAGUGAUUUCUAUUUGUUUAGUUAAUAUUUUCACAUGUUAGCUUACUGUAUCUCUCAGGACAUCAUUUUCCACAAGGGAUUAUAAAAAAUUUAAUAUAAAUAUAUUAACAAAAUAUUUCUAAGCAGAUAUAUGCAUUUUACUGACCUCUCACCUCAGGCUGACCUUGAAGCCCUGCAUGAGGCAGGAAGUGAAAACUAAGACAGGCUUGUAAGCUGCUGGAGUGUGGAAGGUGUGUCUGGUUAUCCCCUACCCCCAACAACACAGAAAGCCCUUCAGCAAAGGCUGGGAGGGUUACUAGUCCCGGGUGUUUAUUCUCUGUGCACCCAUUAGCUCACCACUAAAGCAACUGAACAGACUCUAUGUGUCUGUGCGUAACAAAGAAUACAGGCCUCACAAAACCAGUCCAGCAUCUGUGACUUCAGCAACAAGCCUGGCUGGGUGAGGAUCUGAUUUCCAGCACCACCACCUUAUGUUAUGUAAAAUGUCCAGUUUUCAAACUAAAAUUAUUGGACACUCAAAGAUUCAUGAGUAUAUGACCCAUACACAGAGGGCAAAAAAGCUACAGAGAAGCUGUCCUUGAGGAAGCCCACACGUUGGACAUGCUAGAUGAAGAUUUAAAAUCAUCCAUUUAAAAUACGUUCACAAGCCCCAAGGCACUCAUGCCUAACAAAUUAAAGGAAAAUAUGAGAAUGGUGUUUUACUAGGUAGAAACUAUAAAGAAAUCAAAAUUUAAAAAGGAUCAAAUAGAAAUUCUGAAGUUGUAAAGUACAAUAACUGCAAUGAGAACUUAGCUAGUGGGGUUAAGAUGGUAUUUCACCUGGCAGAAGAGUAAAAACAAAGAGAGUUGGCAUUAUCCCAGAGACUUGGGGUACACCAUCGAUGGUACAACAUAGGCAUAACGGGAAUCCCAGAGAGGAGGCGGUGAGGAAAUACUCAGAAAGUUCUCAAAUCCCUCCGCCUCUUGGCAGGUGUGGUGGGAAGCCAAGGAAACAUGGUUUCUGUUGAGGCUUCAGGAACGUAGAGGAAUCGCAAGGUGCCUGGGUGCUUGCGAUCAAGACAAUGUAACGAUGUACCACCGGGACUCAGUGAUGUGGAACACCUUGUUGAUCAUAGUCAUGGAAGCAGAUUAGUUUAUAAUACGGUAUGUGGGUGACCUUUACAGAAAUGGAUUAAAAUAUAACUACUAUCCAAAUACGCCUAUAGUGACCUAAUAGUUCCCACUGCAAUGGUUCUGGGUGCUGACUCCCCACUAGCUUUGUAGUAAAUGUAUAAAAGGCAUGGCCCUGCUGUACUCGGGGGCUCAGACCUUUGGAGAUCACUCUCCUCUGAGCACGCCGGUGUGAAAAAACCUCCACGCCCCCCAAGACCUCCAAGUCCCGCUUCGCUCUUCUGUCAGAAAUCCAGUCCAGGUUUUCUGGUUUUCUGUAACAGAGAGAUGAGACAGAGAGAGAGAGCAUAAUAUUUCAAAAAAGAAUGACUGAAAACUGACCAAAUUUGAUGAAAAAUCCACAUUAACCCACAUGUCCAAGAAGCUCAAUGAAUUCAAAGAAGUCUAACCCCAAAGAGAGACAUACCUAGACACAUCAUAGUCAAAGUGUCAAAGUCAAAGACAAAGAGGCGUAGUGCUCAUGCUAAAAUGAACGCGGUACCUCGCUGUGAUUUCAUGUGUUACCAUUUUCACUUAUGAAGUUCAGCUUCUCAUCGUAUGCUUAUCACCAUUUGUACGUUUUUUCCCUAGAGAAAUGUCUGUUCAAACCCUUUGCCCAUUUUGAGUUGGUCUUUUUAUUGUUAAGUUUUGUAUUGUCUACACCUCCUUGAGUCAGUUUUAUAGAUUCUGUGUGUUUGUAGGAAUUCACCCACUUCAUCUAGAUUACCCAGCUUGUCGGCGCACCACUGUUCAUAGUAUUCCUGUAAUUCUGGUUUUGAUAAUCAGUUGUAAUGUUCCCACUUUCACUUCUGAUUUUAAAAAUUUGAGUCCAAGAAUGAACUAGUGGUUACCAAAGG